GACGAACGCUGGCGGCGUGCUUAACACAUGCAAGUCGAACGGAAAGGCCCUGCUUUUGUGGGGUGCUCGAGUGGCGAACGGGUGAGUAACACGUGAGUAACCUGCCCUUGACUUUGGGAUAACUUCAGGAAACUGGGGCUAAUACCGGAUAGGAGCUCCUGCUGCAUGGUGGGGGUUGGAAAGUUUCGGCGGUUGGGGAUGGACUCGCGGCUUAUCAGCUUGUUGGGGGGGUAGUGGCUUACCAAGGCUUUGACGGGUAGCCGGCCUGAGAGGGUGACCGGCCACAUUGGGACUGAGAGACGGCCCAGACUCCUACGGGAGGCAGCAGUGGGGAAUAUUGCACAAUGGGCGGAAGCCUGAUGCAGCAACGCCGCGUGCGGGAUGACGGCCUUCGGGUUGUAAACCGCUUUCGCCUGUGCCGAAGCGUGAGUGACGGUAAUGGGUAAAGAAGCACCGGCUAACUACGUG
rnacentral:rRNA from 1 species